rnacentral:tRNA from 1 species
CCGGUGUUGGCGAGGUCGCCGCCACCGCCGUUCGAACCGGCCGGGGUGCUCGGCGCGGUGCUCGGGGCACCGGCCUCGGUCCA